UACGGAGGGUGCGAGCGUUAUCCGGAAUUACUGGGUUUAAAGGGUGCGUAGGCGGCUAUGUAAGUCAGGAGUGAAAGUUUGCGGCUCAACCGUAAAAUUGCUUUUGAUACUGCAUGGCUGGAAUCAGGAUGAGGUCAGCGGAAUGUGGCAUGUAGCGGUGAAAUGCAUAGAUAUGACAUAGAACACCUAUUGCGAAGGCAGCUUACUACGCAGAUAUUGACGCUCAUGCACGAAAGCGUGGGGAUCAAACAGG
rnacentral:rRNA from 1 species